CCUACGGGUGGCAGCAGUGGGGAAUAUUGCUCAAUGGGGGGAACCCUGAUGCAGCGACGCCGCGUGAGCGAUGAAGGAUUUCGGUAUGGAAAACUCUAUCAGCAGGGGAAAAAAUGACGGUACCUGACUAAGAAGCCCCGGCUAACUACGGGCCAGCAGCCGCGGUAAUACGUAGGGGGCCAGCGUUAUCCGGAUUUACUGGGUGGAAAGGGAGCGUAGACGGCAGCAUAAGUCUGGAGUGAAAUCCCGGGGCUUAACCCCCGAACUGCUUUGGAAACUGUGCGGCUGGAGUGCAGGAGGGGUAAGCGGAAUGCCUAGUGUAGCGGUGAAAUGCGUAGAUAUUAGGAGGAACACCGGUGGCGAAGGCGGCUUACUGGACUGUAACUGACGUUGAGGCUCGAAAGCGUGGGGAGCAAACAGGAUUAGAUACCCUAGUAGUC
rnacentral:rRNA from 1 species